rnacentral:rRNA from 1 species
AUGACUAAUCCUCAUACUUUCGCCGUUGGCAGUGUAGAUGUGAUCUUUGCCCCGGUAUUUUUCCUUCAUUGUGACCUUCUCGAGCUCGUUGGUGAUGUGGUUGGUAGCCCCGCUAUCAACGUACCAGUUGGUGUCGAUACCGUAGGAGCCAUCCGCAGCCGCAACAACUUUGUCCUCGUCUUGGGAGGAGUCCUCGUCUUCAUCGUAGCGGUACUAGCAGUCCUUUGCUGUGUGCCCGAGCUUGCCACAGAUCUGGCAGCGGGGCGCAUCAGGACGGGACCGGCUGGAGGCGCCGCCGCGGCGAGGCUUGGAGUUGAUGGAGCGGCCGUUGCGGGAGUUGGAGGAGCCGCCAGUGUUGCUGUUUCCUCCUGA